rnacentral:rRNA from 1 species
CAGCCGCCGCGGGAAUACAGAGGGUGCGAGCGUUAAUCGGAUUUACUUGGCGUAAAGCGUGCGUAGGCGGCUUUUUAAGUCGGAUGUGAAAUCCCUGAGCUUAACUUAGGAAUUGCAUUCGAUACUGGGAAGCUAGAGUAUGGGAGAGGAUGGUAGAAUUCCAGGUGUAGCGGUGAAAUGCGUAGAGAUCUGGAGGAAUACCGAUGGCGAAGGCAGCCAUCUGGCCUAAUACUGACGCUGAGGUACGAAAGCAUGGGGAGCAAACAGGAUUAGAUACCCCCGUAGUCCCUGUCUCUUAUAC